rnacentral:rRNA from 1 species
UGGAAUGUCUGUGGCCUAAACUCCAGGGCCAAGCGUACUGCCAUUCGAUCGGUCAUCUUCACUGCUUCCCUUAACAUCGCCAGCCUCCAGGAAACCAAGUUGGAGGCUUUAUCGCUGCCCCUUGUCAUCGAGACGCUCGGCCCCAACUUCGCUGAUUUCUUCUUUCUCCCCAUGAUCAGAACAUGCGGUCGCACCCUUCUCGCUUGGCGGAGCAGUGAGAUCUCCAUCUCUAGCCCCUACAUUGGCCGGCAUCACAUUCUGAUACUAGUCUCCUCCCCCUCUAGUGCUAACCCGUGGUGGAUCACUGGGGUCUAUGGCCCACAGGACAACAAUGAGAAGCUAUUGUCCCUGGCUGACCUACGGGAGACCCGCGAGACCUGUGCUGGCCCCUGGCUCUUGGGGGCAACUUCAACCUCGUUCCCUUUGCUGAGGACAAGAGGAAUGGUCGCAUUAACCGGCGCACCUCUAGUUGUUUCCGUUGCUUCAUCGCCGACAUGGAGCUGUGAUAUGUCGCCAACGUAUCUAUAA